rnacentral:rRNA from 1 species
CCAGACUCCUACGGGAGGCAGCAGUGGGGAAUUUUGCGCAAUGCUCGUAAGAGUGACGCAGCGACGCCGCGUGAAUGACGAAGGCCUUCGGGUCGUAAAGUUCUUUCGACAGGGAAGAAAAUGCCUAUAAGUAACUGUGUAUGUAUUGACGGUACCUGUAUAAGCAGCCCCGGCUAACUCCGUGCCAGCAGCCGCGGUAAUACGGAGGGGGCGAGCGUUGUUCGGAGUGACUGGGCGUAAAGAGCACGUAGGCGGUGUUGUAAGUCAUUAGUCAAAGACUAGAGCUCAACUUUAGUAAGGCUAGUGAUACUAUAAUACUAGAGUAUCAGAGAGGAUUGCAGAAUUCCUGGUGUAGCGGUGAAAUGCGUAGAUAUCAGGAGGAAUACCGUUAGCGAAGGCGGCAAUCUGGCUGGAAACUGACGCUGAGGUGCGAAAGCGUGGGUAGCAAACAGGAUUAGAUACCCCAGUA